UACAGAGGUCUCAAGCGUUGUUCGGAUUCAUUGGGCGUAAAGGGUGUGUAGGUGGCGCGCUAAGUCGGGUGUGAAAUUUCGGAGCUUAACUCCGAAACUGCAUUCGAUACUGGCGUGCUUGAGGACUGGAGAGGAGACUGGAAUUCAUGGUGUAGCAGUGAAAUGCGUAGAGAUCAUGAGGAAGACCAGUGGCGAAGGCGGCUUCCUGGCCUGUUCUUGACGCUGAGGCGCGAAAGCUAGGGUAGCAAACGGG
rnacentral:rRNA from 1 species